ACGCAAUGGCUAACCUUGGGAAGUUGCGUUGUGAUAUGAGAACGAAUCCUGGGUACGAAGGACCAAAAUGUUGAAACCUCAGGCGAUUGCUCAGGUGUAGAUGCUUCCUGUUUGCAAUCUGCCCUUAUUUCUUCGAAAAUUGGAAGCGGGUUCAAUUGUAGGUUAAAAUAAAACAACGACUUCGUCAUACUGAUCUUAGCGUUCUGACCACCUUCGGUUCUGACUUAAGACGGCUUUAUUUUUUAAUUUCGGUUCCACUCGGGAAUAACCGAGAAUACCCGACAAUGCCCUUCAAAAUCACAUUUCACUUUCCCAAAUAUUUAAAAAUAAAAUUCCAAUAUAUAUAGUCCGGGACAUUUCAAUAUGAGAUACGUCAUACCGCACACCUUGACGCGAGACUAUAUAGAGCACAAAAACUAGAUAAGAGCUCAAAUUUAGGGAACUUGUGUUUGAUAGAUGACAAAUGUAAACAAUAAUAAAAAUUUAAAUAUUUCUUUAUUGUAGUAAAGUACAGCAAAAUGUACCAACUAGAACACUUAAAAACAAAUGGAGAAACUUUCAAAUGCUUUGAAGUACCGUUGCUGGAGUACUGUUGAGGUUAUGUUUGACCUUGGUAUGACUGUCAGGUUUAAAGUUGAAAUUUGCAUUAAAAAGGCCAUAAAAGCCUCGAAGUGCCUUUUAGGGUAGUCAUCGUCAUGUUCCAAUUGCAUGCCCCCUCUCUGCCACAUCAGUAAAAUUUGCCACAAAAGUUUUAAAAAACAACUUUAAACAACAAAAAAGGCCCUAUUUUCAUUAACAAUGAGACAUAUCUCGCUGCAUGCGGCACGACAUAGGCCUCAUAGACCAAUCUCAUUGUGAAUGGUUUUCGCUGAGAUCACUUUGAGAGGGUUUCACUGAGACUGACGUUGGCGGAAGGCUGAAACCUGCCUCGCGACAAGUCUUUGCACCAACAUUCGAAAACGCUGUCAAUGGCUUAAAAUUAUGAAACUGUGUCAGUUUUUUUGUGUCUUUUGGGAUUAGUCUUUGAGUCCUGUUGCGCCGCAUGUAGCGAAGCAGAUCUCAUUGUGAAUGGGUUCUUUAAGAAACAGUUUCAAUGUACACCACAAGACAUACACUGAGACGGCCUCAUGCCUCAUAUCAUGGCUUGUAAUUGACAGCAUUUUAUAAAAUAAUUUGGAAUCAUAAUGCAGAGAUUGUUGCGAGACAGGCAGGCAGGUCUCAAGCCUACUGCAGAAGUCGCUCUCAGUGAGUCCAUGUCUUAGAGAUGCAAGACCAAUUUAGACCAUUUACAGUGAGAUUGGUGCCCGAGACCUAUGUCAUGCAGGAAGCCAAACUUCAUCGUGAAUGGACCCUUUUCAAUGGGGGUGUGCUUUUUGAAUAAAUUUGAAAUGGCCUUUUUGAAAAAAGCAGUUGUCUCUCUUUUAUUCAUCUAUUCAACACGCAAAGGCAAAGUGGAAUUGGAGGCAACCCAGAAAUAAAAACACUCUAAUUUCCUUUAUUAGUAGGCUAUAUUUUUUAUAAAAGACGACUACUCUCAGAUAGAGACGUACAAAAAUGUAAACAAGAGUAAAAGUUGGUUUUUCGCAAUAUUUCACACUAUUCUUCCACACGUCCACAGUAAAAUCAGAAAGCGCUUGUUGUUAUAAAGCCCUUAUUAUGUUUUUCAACGAUGGAUGAGACUUUGUGACGUAUUUGUUAAACGUAAGUUUUCAAAUACCCCAUGCCAGUGCAACGGAGUUAUAUUAACAAUUUUAUGGGAUUAUUUUUAACUUUACACCCAUUCUGCUUGAAACAAUAGUCGCUACCAGGAAAUAACAACGAAAAAAGUGGACCCAAAAGGCUUCAGCUGCAAAUUAUAAACACUAUCUGUGAUUUUUUUAAUAAUUAAUUAAUAAAUGUCGUGAACUUACUUUGAAGUAAACAGUGAGCUCCAUCUAUAACUCAUAAUUACUUGAACCGCAAUUCCCAUCAUCAAAAUGUGCAAAACUGCGAUAAGUGAGGUUAUGCAGGUAUGCACUUUGUUUUCCAGUUUUUCACACAAAAUAUAUCACAAAGUGCACAAAUCGUACAACCAGCGAUAGUCAGUACUGUCAGUACGUCACAGCAGCUUUCUCCAGCACAAUCACUGACUGCAAUUCUGUGUUGUGCCAUUCCCGUCUCAUCAUAUAAUCUAUAAUUGUUAUAUGACAAGUAAUGUUUCUACCUUCAAAAAUACUUGCGUAAAUAUUUUAUUAUCCCGUUAGUACACACUUUUAAAGCAGCCACGGGUUAUAUAGAUUAAAAUUAUAACAUUUCCUUUGUUAUUGUUUACAUCAGUCAGCUGUUUACUGUCAUUUUCUAAUCCUACCAAUUUCAAAAA